rnacentral:lncRNA from 1 species
AGUGAUUUGCCCCUGUGGAUCUCUUCCUGAGAGCAGGGGCAUGGAAAGGCAAUUAGCUUGGUGGGGUCUCUCUCUAUUGGGCAUUUCUUUCUUCUCCAUCACCCUCAUUGCAGCCGUAGCCUCUACAUAGUGCCCCAAUUUCCCUCUGCUCCUAAGGCACCUCCUCCCACCGUCAAAACUGACAUUUCACAUAUUCACCAGGAGAAGAGCUUUAACCACAGGAAUUUGUUUUCUGCCAGUUCUGGAGGCUACAAGCCUGAGGUCCAGGGUUGGUUCCUUCUGAGGGCCAUGAAGGCCGAAUCUGCCUCAGACUCUCUCCUCAGCUUGUAAUGACCACCUGCUUCCUGUGUCUUCAUCUUCCCUCUCUUUGUGUCUGUCUCCUCUUCUUCAAGGAUACCAGUUAGAUUAGAUCAGAGCCCACUCAUUGGCUUCAUUUUUACUUGCUCACUACUGUAAGGACUUGAUUUCCAAAUAAAGUCCCAUGCUGGGAUGAUGGGCCUUAGGACUUUAUGCGGGAUGAGAACAGAGUUCAACCUGCAACCCCAGCCAAGCUUGCAGCCCAUGGAGAGCGAGCUGGGGCGAAGACAGGGCUUGUUUCUCGUGGAUCUCAGACCACCAUUGUCCACCUGCAUGAGCUUGGGGACAGGUCACCACCUCUGAGAGACUCUGAAGUAAGCAGGGUCACAGAUACUUUUCAAAGCUAUGAUGGCAGGUACACAGGACAGCAUCCGAAAAAGUCCCAGGACAACAUCGGAGAUGUCAAAGACCCUCAAUAAUGAUUGGUUCCUCCUUUUGUCCACAAUAAAAGAACAUUCACAGGCAAGGACGGAGCUCAGUCAUCAAAAAAGAGAACAGCACAAAGGAUACCCACACUGCCCUUGGAAAGUUCUGAUCAACACAACCUCACAUGUGAAAACGAAGAGGCCACGAAGAGUACAAUAAAGAAAGCAAAGUGGUCAAUGACACAAAGACGUGACCCGUGGGCUCCCCCUCAAUAUUUACAUAUUCACAGAGACCCCUCUCAUAAUUUCUUACUUUCUUUCUCAAAUUAGGAAGGGUGACUCCUUGUGUAGUUUUACUUUAUAUAAUAAUAAUGACAUUUAUGUUGCUUUUCUGAUAAGGGAAUACAUGUAUUGUUUAUAAAAUAAAAUAUAAAAAUUAUAUAAUAUCUCACACAUAAUAUACAAUAUUUGGUUUGGGGUAAAAAUGGGAGUUCAUAACCCACUUGAAUCUAAUGUAUGAAAUAUGAUAUGUCAAGAGCUUUGUAAUGUUUUGAACAACCAAUAAAAAAAUAAUAUACAAUAUUUGGAAAUAUCAUUAUUUACUUUUUUAAGUAAAAACCUGUUACCAUUGGCAUUUAAAA